rnacentral:rRNA from 3 species
UACCGGGUGGCGACCGGCGCACGGGUGAGUAACGCGUAUGCAACUUGCCUAUCAGAGGGGGAUAACCCGGCGAAAGUCGGACUAAUACCGCAUGAAGCAGGGGCCCCGCAUGGGGAUAUUUGCUAAAGAUUCAUCGCUGAUAGAUAGGCAUGCGUUCCAUUAGGCAGUUGGCGGGGUAACGGCCCACCAAACCGACGAUGGAUAGGGGUUCUGAGAGGAAGGUCCCCCACAUUGGUACUGAGACACGGACCAAACUCCUACGGGAGGCAGCAGUGAGGAAUAUUGGUCAAUGGCCGUAAGNCUGAACCAGCCAAGUCGCGUGAGGGAUGAAGGUUCUAUGGAUCGUAAACCUCUUUUAUAAGGGAAUAAAGUGCGGGACGUGUCCCGUUUUGUAUGUACCUUAUGAAUAAGGCGGCUAACUCCGUGCCAGCAGCCGCGGUAAUACGGAGGCCAGCGUUAUCCGGAUUUAUUGGGUUUAAAGGGUGCGUAGGCGGCCUUUUAAGUCAGCGGUGAAAGUCUGUGGCUCAACCAUAGAAUUGCCGUUGAAACUGGGGGGCUUGAGUAUGUUUGAGGCAGGCGGAAUGCGUGGUGUAGCGGUGAAAUGCAUAGAUAUCACGCAGAACCCCGAUUGCGAAGGCAGCCUGCCAAGCCAUUACUGACGCUGAUGCACGAAAGCGUGGGGAUCAAACAGGAUUAGAUACCCUGGUAGUCCACGCAGUAAACGAUGAUCACUAGCUGUUUGCGAUACACUGUAAGCGGCACAGCGAAAGCGUUAAGUGAUCCACCUGGGGAGUACGCCGGCAACGGUGAAACUCAAAGGAAUUGACGGGGGCCCGCACAAGCGGAGGAACAUGUGGUUUAAUUCGAUGAUACGCGAGGAACCUUACCCGGGUUUGAACGCAUUCGGACCGAGGUGGAAACACCUUUUCUAGCAAUAGCCGUUUGCGAGGUGCUGCAUGGUUGUCGUCAGCUCGUGCCGUGAGGUGUCGGCUUAAGUGCCAUAACGAGCGCAACCCUUGCCACUAGUUACUAACAGGUGAUGCUGAGGACUCUGGUGGGACUGCCAGCGUAAGCUGCGAGGAAGGCGGGGAUGACGUCAAAUCAGCACGGCCCUUACAUCCGGGGCGACACACGUGUUACAAUGGCGUGGACAAAGGGAGGCCACCUGGCGACAGGGAGCGAAUCCCCAAACCACGUCUCAGUUCGGAUCGGAGUCUGCAACCCGACUCCGUGAAGCUGGAUUCGCUAGUAAUCGCGCAUCAGCCAUGGCGCGGUGAAUACGUUCCCGGGCCUUGUACACACCGCCCGUCAAGCCAUGGGAGCCGGGGGUACCUGAAGUCCGUAACCGAAA